GGAUUAGUUCAAUGGCAGAGCAACGGUCUCCAAAACCGUCAAUGGGGGUUCGAAUCCCUCAUCC
rnacentral:tRNA from 1 species